UACGAAAGGUCCAAGCGUUACUCGGAAUUACUGGGCGUAAAGCGCGCGUAGGCGGCUUUGUAUGUCGAUUGUGAAAGCCCCGGGCUCAACCUGGGAACUGCAGUCGAAACUGCAAAGCUUGAAUGUUGGAGAGGUUGGGGGAAUACCUAGUGGAGAAGUGAAAUUCGUAGAUAUUCGGAAGAACACCAGUGGCGAAGGCGACUUACUGGACACAUACUGACGCUGAGGUGCGAAAGCGUGGGGAGCAAACAGG
rnacentral:rRNA from 1 species